CGCUGACGAUGAGACCACACAAAUGCCCGACAAGCUGCCUCCGCGUUCAAUGAGACCGUCAGUGGCUGGAUAAGAAGA